GACGAACGCUGGCGGCGUGCUUAACACAUGCAAGUCGAACGGUGAAGCGCCUUCCUUUUUGGUGGGUGUGGAUGAGUGGCGAACGGGUGAGUAACACCUGAGUAACCUGCCCCCUUCUUCUGGAUAACCGCAUGAAAGUGUGGCUAAUACGGGAUAUUCUGGGUCUGUCGCAUGAUGGGUCUGGGAAAGAUAUUGUUUCGGUGGGGGAUGGGCUCGCGGCCUAUCAGCUUGUUGGUGGGGUGAUGGCCUACCAAGGCGGUGACGGGUAGCCGGCCUGAGAGGGUGGACGGUCACACUGGGACUGAGACACGGCCCAGACUCCUACGGGAGGCAGCAGUGGGGAAUAUUGCACAAUGGGCGCAAGCCUGAUGCAGCGACGCCGCGUGAGGGAUGGAGGCCUUCGGGUUGUGAACCUCUUUCGCCAGUGAAGCAGGCCUGCCUCGUUUGUGGGUGGGUUGACGGUAGCUGGAGAAGAAGCGCCGGCUAACUACGUG
rnacentral:rRNA from 1 species